rnacentral:misc_RNA from 1 species
CGUAGGUGAACCUGCGGAAGGAUCAUUAAUGAGUUGUCAUGGGGUUCGAUGCUGGCAGCCAAUUUUUGGAUGCAUGUGCUUGCCCUAACAAUCAUCUUCCAAACACCUGUGCACAUUUUUGAGGGAGUCUUGAGUUGGUUGCUGCUCUUGGGUGAUUUUCUCACAUUCCCUUAAAUCAUUAUACGCUAUUAACAAUGUUGAACGUGCUCUGUGCCGCAAGGCUAUUAAUAUAAUACAACUUUUAACAACGGAUCUCUUGGCUCUC